rnacentral:rRNA from 1 species
AUUGAACGCUGGCGGCAGGCUUAACACAUGCAAGUCGAGCGGAGCGAGGGUGCUUGCACCUUAGCUUAGCGGCGGACGGGUGAGUAAUGCUUAGGAAUCUGCCUAUUAGUGGGGGACAACAUUCCGAAAGGAAUGCUAAUACCGCAUACGCCCUACGGGGGAAAGCAGGGGAUCUUUGGACCUUGCGCUAAUAGAUGAGCCUAAGUCGGAUUAGCUAGUUGGUGGGGUAAAGGCCUACCAAGGCGACGAUCUGUAGCGGGUCUGAGAGGAUGGUCCGACACACUGGGACUGAGACACGGCCCAGACUCCUACGGGAGGCAGCAGUGGGGAAUAUUGGACAAUGGGCGGAAGCCUGAUCCAGCCAUGCCGCGUGUGUGAAGAAGGCCUUUUGGUUGUAAAGCACUUUAAGCGAGGAGGAGGAGCUCUAGGUUAAUACCCUAGAUGCUUGGACGUUACUCGCAGAAUAAGCACCGGCUAACUCUGUGCCAGCCGCCGCAGUAAGAC